rnacentral:rRNA from 1 species
UACGUAGGAGGCGAGCGUUGUCCGGAAUCACUGGGUGUAAAGCGCGUGUAGGCGGCCUGCCAAGUCUGCUGUGAAAGCGCCGGGCUUAACCGGGCGAGGUCGGUGGAGACUGGCGGGCUGGAGGUCGGUAGAGGGGGGUGGAAUUCCCGGUGUAGUGGUGAAAUGCGUAGAGAUCGGGAGGAACACCAGUGGCGAAGGCGGCCCCCUGGGCCGGGCCUGACGCUGAGACGCGAAGGCGCGGGGAGCGAACGGG